rnacentral:rRNA from 1 species
GUCAAUGCUCGUAAGAGUGAACUAGCUAACUGAAAUCUUAAAAUCAUUGAAUCAAUGGUUCUUGAGAUAACGUAAGGGAUAAAAAUGAUAGUACCUUACUAUAAGUGUUGUCCAACAAUACUGGUGCCAGAAGACUCGGUAACGCCAGAAACGCAAACGUUAGUCGUCCUAAUCAGGCGUAAAGGGUAAGUAGGCUGCUUUGAAAGUUGUUAAUUAGAAAGCUCUUUAAAGAAAAUUUAAAGCAAUUAAUAAUGAAUUAAAGCUAGAAUCAAAUAGGGGAUAAGCCAAAUAAUAUUUAGUGUAAGGCUAAUAUCUUUAGAUACUAAAUGGAAUACUAAGGUGAAAACUUUUAUCUACUAAUGAUGACGCUGAGGAACGAAGGUGAGAAUGGAAAACAGGAUUAGGGACCCAGGUAUC